UACGAAGGGGGCGAGCGUUGUUCGGAUUUACUGGGCGUAAAGGGCGCGUAGGCGGGAUGGCAAGUCGAUCGUGAAAUCCCUCGGCUCAACCGAGGAACGUCGAUCGAUACUGCUGUUCUUGAGGAUUGCAGAGGAGACUGGAAUUCCCGGUGUAGCGGUGAAAUGUGUAGAGAUCGGGAGGAACACCGGUGGCGAAGGCGGGUCUCUGGGCAAUUCCUGACGCUGAGGCGCGAAAGCGUGGGGAGCAAACGGG
rnacentral:rRNA from 1 species